rnacentral:tRNA from 1 species
UUUUUGAUUUUAGAUUAGUUUAAAGUGCAAAUUUAAAGUUCCUCUAAGUGCAGGCUAAAAUU